rnacentral:rRNA from 1 species
UCGAUGGAGAGUUUGAUCCUGGCUCAGGACGAACGUUGGCGGUGCGCUUAAUGCAUGCAAGUCGAGGGAUAACCAGUCGUUCCGUAAGGUUCGGCUGGGGAAACCGGCGAACGGGUGCGUAACACGUGAGAAACCUGCCCCGAAGAUCGGGAUAGCCCGGGGAAACCCGGAUUAAUACCGAAUAUCCUCUUUGGACCACAUGGUCUGUUGAGGAAAUGGUCCGCCGCUUCGGGAUGGUCUCGCGGCCUAUCAGCUAGUUGGUGAGGUAAAGGCUCACCAAGGCAGAGACGGGUAGCUGGUCUGAGAGGACGAUCAGCCACACUGGGACUGAGACACGGCCCAGACUCCUACGGGAGGCAGCAGCAGGGAAUAUUGCACAAUGGGCGAAAGCCUGAUGCAGCGACACCGCGUGUGGGAUGAAUGCCUUCGGGUUGUAAACCACUUUCAGGAGGGACGAAAAUGACGGUACCUCCAGAAGAAGGCCCGGCCAACUACGUGCCAGCAGCCGCGGUAAUACGUAGGGGCCAAACGUUGUCCGGAUUUAUUGGGCGUAAAGGGCUCGUAGGCGGUUCAACAAGUCGAUCGUGAAAACCCGGGGCUCAACCCCGGGACGCCGGUCGAAACUGUUGUGACUAGAGUUCGGUAGAGGUGAGUGGAAUUCUCGGUGUAGCGGUGGAAUGCGCAGAUAUCGAGAGGAACACCAGUAGCGAAGGCGGCUCACUGGGCCGAAACUGACGCUAAGGAGCGAAAGCAUGGGGAGCAAACAGGAUUAGAUACCCUGGUAGUCCAUGCCGUAAACGAUGAACACUAGGUGUGGCGGAUUCAUUGACAUCUGCCGUGCCGAAGCUAACGCAUUAAGUGUUCCGCCUGGGGAGUACGGCCGCAAGGCUAAAACUCAAAGGAAUUGACGGGGCCCCGCACAAGCGG